UCCACUUGCAUGGCAGUAAAUAUGAUGACACUGCAAGCUCGUCUUUUGCCGACAAAGUUGUGAUCCUUGUGUUUUUUUGAUGAAGCAGUGAAAACAAGCCACUGCGAGAGCACCGGCAGCUGUGUGGUUAAGGAUACAAACGCCCCGCCUCCUCUCUGCACCUCUCCCAGCACCGGAGGAACAACAGGGCUGAGGUGGAAGUGGGGGGAUCGAGAAGGAAUGACAACCUGUGUGAACUACCCCUUUCUUGGUGAAUUAAAACAUGGCUGCCACUGAGCACGAGUUAAACGACCAGUACCGGGAGAAAGGAUGUGGAGACAUGAUCAGUAUACUUCCCAUGACCGCUAAUAGGACAACCAGUCUGCAAG